rnacentral:lncRNA from 1 species
CCCCGGCCUGAGUUUAUAUAUAGCAACAUGCAUUAUUCCUUUUUUUCGGCAGCCAUCAACAUCUUUUUCCAAAUUUCACCACACGAUUUGUUUUUAUUAUCAUGAAUAUUUAAUUGAAACUUUAGCACAUGUAACGUCGGAAAUUCGCGUUUUUCGGAUUUUUCGACGUUUUCAGACGUUUGAACAAAUUGGAUACCGUUUUGUAAUG